rnacentral:rRNA from 1 species
AAUGAACGCUGGCGGCGUGCCUAACACAUGCAAGUCGGAUGUGCCCGCAAGGGUGCAUGGCAGACGGGUGAGUAACGCGUGGGGAAUCUACCUUUUAGUGGGGAAUAACGCUCCGAAAGGAGUGGUAAUACCGCAUGUGACCAUCGGCUGGGAUGCUGAUGGUGAAAACCCCUGGGGACCUUCGGGCCAGGGGCUAAAAGAAGGAUCCCUGCGUCUGAUUAGCUAGUUGGUGAGGUAACGGCCCACCAAGGCGACGAUCAGUAGCCGGCCUGAGAGGGUGAUCGGCCACACUGGAACUGAGACACGGUCCAGACUCCUACGGGAGGCAGCAGUGGGGAAUUUUGCGCAAUGGGGGAAACCCCGUGACGCAGCAACGCCGCGUGGGUGAUGAAGGUCUUCGGAUUGUAAAACCCUGUCGCCAGGGACGAAGGGGCGAGGUGAAUAGCCUUGUUCUUUGACGGUACCUGGAAAGGAAGCCCCGG